GGGUAACGCUUGAGGGAGGUUAUCCAUGACAAUAUGGUAUUAGAUCAGUGGGUAACGCUUCCGGCAGGAUAUCCAUGACAGUAUGGUAUUAGAUCAGUGGGUAUCGCUUGAGGCAGGUUAUCCAUGACAGUAUGGUGUUAGAUCAGUGGGUAUCGCUUGAGGCAGGUUAUCCAUGACAGUAUGGUAUUAGAUGAGUGGGUAUCGCUUGAGGGAGGUUAUCCAUGACAGCAUGGAAUUAGAUCAGUGGAUAUCGCUUGAGGCAGGUUAUCCAUGACAGUAUGGUGUUAGAUCAGUGGGUAACGCUUGCGGCAGGAUAUCCAUGACAGUAUGGUAUUAGAUCAGUGGGUAACGCUUGAGGGAGGUUAUCCAUGACAGUAUGGUAUUAGAUCAGUGGGUAACGCUUGCGGCAGGAUAUCCAUGACAGUAUGGUAUUAGAUCAGUGGGUAACGCUUGCGGCAGGAU